GACGAACGCUGGCGGCGUGCCUAAUACAUGCAAGUCGAACGCUUCUUUCCUCCCGAGUGCUUGCACUCAAUUGGAAAGAGGAGUGGCGGACGGGUGAGUAACACGUGGGUAACCUACCCAUCAGAGGGGGAUAACACUUGGAAACAGGUGCUAAUACCGCAUAACAGUUUAUGCCGCAUGGCAUAAGAGUGAAAGGCGCUUUCGGGUGUCGCUGAUGGAUGGACCCGCGGUGCAUUAGCUAGUUGGUGAGGUAACGGCUCACCAAGGCCACGAUGCAUAGCCGACCUGAGAGGGUGAUCGGCCACACUGGGACUGAGACACGGCCCAGACUCCUACGGGAGGCAGCAGUAGGGAAUCUUCGGCAAUGGACGAAAGUCUGACCAAGCAACGCCGCGUGAGUGAAGAAGGUGUUCGGAUCGUAAAACUCUGUUGUUAGAGAAGAACAAGGACGUUAGUAACUGAACGUCCCCUGACGGUAUCUAACCAGAAAGCCACGGCUAACUACGUG
rnacentral:rRNA from 1 species